CCGAGUUUUCAACUCCCAAACCCACUGUGAACUUAUACCUUUACUGUUGCUUCGGCGGGUCUCGGCCCCGGCGCUGCCCCUCCUCUUACCGGGAGGGGUGAGCCGGACAACACGGCCCCCGCCGGAGGACCCAAACUCUUGAAUUUUCGCGACUGGCUCGCGGCAGUUUGUAUUCUGAUUAAUUCAAAACAAAAUGAAUCA
rnacentral:misc_RNA from 1 species